GUAGGGGCGCGAUCGCCCUUGCCUAUACAUGCAAGUCGAGCGGUAAGGCCCUUUGGGGUACACGAGCGGCGAACGGGUGAGUAACACGUGGGUGACCUGCCUCUAGCUCUGGGAUAAGCCUGGGAAACUGGGUCUAAUACCGGAUAUGACUCCACGGCGCAUGUUGUGGGGUGGAAAGCCUUGUGUGGCUAGAGAUGGGCCCGCGGCCUAUCAGCUUGUUGGUGGGGUGAUGGCCUACCAAGGCGACGACGGGUAGCCGGCCUGAGAGGGCGAUCGGCCACACUGGGACUGAGACACGGCCCAAACUCCUACGGGAGGCAGCAGUGGGGAAUCUUGCGCAAUGGGCGAAAGCCUGACGCAGCGACGCCGCGUGAGGGAUGACGGCCUUCGGGUUGUAAACCUCUUUCAGCCCUGACGAAGCGAGAGUGACGGUAGGGGCAAAAGAAGCACCGGCCAACUACGUGCCAGCAGCCGCGGUAAUACGUAGGGUGCAAGCGUUGUCCGGAAUUAUUGGGCGUAAAGAGCUCGUAGGCGGUCUGUCGCGUCGGCUGUGAAAACUCGGGGCUCAACUCCGAGCUUGCAGUCGAUACGGGCAGGCUAGAGUGCGGCAGGGGAGACUGGAAUUCCUGGUGUAGCGGUGAAAUGCGCAGAUAUCAGGAGGAACACCGGUGGCGAAGGCGGGUCUCUGGGCCGAUACUGACGCUGAGGAGCGAAAGCGUGGGGAGCGAACAGGAUUAGAUACCCUGAUAGUCCACGCCGUAACGUUGGGCGCUAGGUGUGGGAUCCCUUCACGGUUCCGUGCCGCAGCUAGCGCAUUAGCGCCCCGCUGGGGGAGUACGCGCAGGCUAAACUCAAGGAAUUGACCGGGCGCCCGCACAGCGCGGAGCAUGUGAUAUCGAUGCCACCGAGAUCUUACCUGAUUGACUAACGGAAGUCUGAACUGCCUCCGCAGGUCGCUGUUACA
rnacentral:rRNA from 1 species